rnacentral:lncRNA from 1 species
UAAGUGCUGACUGCUUUGUUUUGUCAUUUUGUCACUAUGUGACAGUCUGUUCACAAUUUUUUAGUUUAGUGACCAUUUAUGUCAUUGUGACCAUGUGUGUGUGUGUGUGUGUGUGUGUGUGUGUGUGUGUGUGUGUGUGUGUGUGUGUGUGUGUGUGCAGUCAGCUGAUCAAAAUGUGCUAAAUUUGAGAGAGGAAGCCAAUUUGGAUUGGAUAUACACUCACCGGCCACUUUAUUAGGUACACCAUGCUACUAACGGGUUGGACCCCCUUUUGCCUUCAGAACUGCCUCAAUUCUUCGUGGCAUAGAUUCAACAAGGUGCUGGAAGCAUUCCUCAGAGAGCUUGGUCCAUAUUGACAUGAUGGCAUCACACAGUUGCCGCAGAUUUGUCGGCUGCACAUCCAUGAUGCGAAUCUCCCGUUCCACCACAUCCCAAAGAUGCUCUAUUGGACUGAGAUCUGGUGACUGUGGAGGCCAUUUGAGUACAGUGAACUCAUUGUCAUGUUCAAGAAACCAGUCUGAGAUGAUUCCAGCUUUAUGACAUGGCGCAUUAUCCUGCUGAAAGUAGCCAUCAGAAGUUGGGUACAUUGUGGUCAUAAAGGGAUGGACAUGGUCAGCAACAAUACUCAGGUAGGCUGUGGCGUUGCAACGAUGUUUAAUUGGUACCAAGGGGCCCAAAGAGUGCCAAGAAAAUAUUCCCCACACCAUGACACCACCACCACCAGCCUGAACCGUUGAUACAAGGCAGGAUGGAUCCAUGCUUUCAUGAUGUUGACGCCAAAUUCUGACCCUACCAUCCGAAUGUCGCAGCAGAAAUCGAGACUCAUCAGACCAGGCAACGUUUUUCCAAUCUUCUAUUGUCCAAUUUCGAUGAGCUUGUGCAAAUUGUAGCCUCAGUUUCCUGUUCUUAGCUGAAAGGAGUGGCACUCGGCGUGGUCCUCUGCUGCUGUAGCCCAUCUGCCUCAAAGUUCGACGUACUGUGCGUUCAGAGAUGCUCUUCUGCCUACCUUGGUUGUAACGGGUGGUUAUUUGAGUCACUGUUGCCUUUCUAUCAGCUCGAACCAGUCUGGCCAUUCUCCUCUGACCUCUGGCAUCAACAAGGCAUUUCCGCCCACGGAACUGCCGCUCACUGGAUAUUUUUUCUUUUUCGGACCAUUCUCUGUAAACCCUAGAGAUGGUUGUGCGUGAAAAUCCCAGUAGAUCAGCAGUUUCUGAAAUACUCAGACCAGCCCUUCUGGCACCAACAACCAUGCCACGUUCAAAGUCACUCAAAUCACCUUUCUUCCCCAUACUGAUGCUCGGUUUGAACUGCAGGAGAUUGUCUUGACCAUGUCUACAUGCCUAAAUGCACUAAGUUGCCGCCAUGUGAUUGGCUGAUUAGAAAUUAAGUGUUAACGAGCAGUUGGACAGGUGUACCUAAUAAAGUGGCCGGUGAGUGUAUAUCAGCUGAAUAUAGGGGAAACUGCAGUGGGUUGUGUAAGUCUGAUGUAUUUUUAUUUGACUGAAUGCAAAGAAGGCCAGUUGUUUGUUUAAUGCCUUCAUUUUUAUUUAUUUUGUUUAUUUAGUUUAUGUAGAGACCGGUGUAUUUGAAGCUAGCUGGACUAGGUGCAAAGUAGCAUUGGCCUGUAGUUUGUGUGGAGACCAGUGUUUUUGAAGUCUGCAGAGAGCCUGGCCCGGGCUGUGAUGUGUUUACUGUUUUGUUUUUUUACGCUGAAUGCCUGAUAAGGAGGAGGUCUGGAUAAUUGUUAGACAUUGUUGAACUGUUAGUUUUAAGUCAUUCUUUUAUGAACUCUGAAAGGUGGUAGCCGACGGACAAGUGUCGUAGAAUCUCUUCAUACAUUUAGGUUAAGAAAUAUAGUGGGGUUCCGUGUAUAUGUAAUUUUUUGUUUUCAUUUCAAAUUCGUGUAAGUCUAUUUUUCACUUUUUCACUUGUGAACACCUUCACAUAUUCACACUACUGCAUGGCAUGAAGAAAGUAGGUAAUUAUAAUGAAAACACCAUGUGCUCCUCAGCAUAAUUGCUAUACUGUAGACUAGCUAGUUUAGAAGAUGACCUCGGUGCAAAAAUGCAGGAAUGAACUACACGAAGACAGAACCAAGCUGGCAGCCUCUCGCAGGAUUUUAUUCUGGUCACAGCAUCAAACACAGCUCAUGAACAAUCGAACAGACAGACCCCCGAACAGAAAAACCACAGAUCUCUUAUAGUAAUCCAAUGACGUCACUGAUCUCAACUUUUGCCAAAUGUGUGUGCGAGGUCACUGUAUGAAGGUCACUUUCCCUGCCAAUAUCUCUGACGCACAUCCGUAUCCAUCUUCUUCUGCCAAAUUUCCUUUUAUUGUAAUGCAGUUCACCAUGACCUGAUGAAGUUUAUCCCAAUCUGACCUCUCCAACCAUAUCCUGCUUUCUUGCCUCAUAGUAACCUCCAAAACAUCCAAACAUAUCUGUUAUUUUCCCCCACAUAUCCCCCCUUUGAAUCUUUUCAAGAUUAAACCAGUUCAAUGACGCCGUUGGAGAUUCACACUUAUCUUGUCUUAGCCUUAGUUACGUUACAUGAAUGAGUUAUGACAACGUUAUGUGAUAUGAUACUACUAGAUUGAUUACAGAUGCAUAUGUAUGUUUUCAAACCAAUCCAACUCAUGCUUGUGAUCACGAAUGUUACAUUUUCAUAAACACAACACUUAAAUCACUUGUGACUUGUUUCACAUCUGGCAGGGGCGAAAACCUGCUGGCUGCUUUGAGCAGGAAAUUCCCCUGCGGCCCCUCCCGCUGGCGACCUUCACCGUGAACCUUCUAAAUCUAACAGCUUUUCACUGACCCACUCUACAUGACAAUCAACCACAUGUUUUAUUUUGCUCAAAAAAUGAUUAACCAUUUCCUUUACCUGUUUCCAUAUACCUGGAAUGAGUAUGUGUAAAUGAUGUGAGUAUGCAGAAUACACAUGGAUAACAACAGAAUAUGUGUGUAUUGAUAUGAUAGUCCAUUUGCUCCGCCGUCCCAUUUGCUUUUCCUUUUGCUUGCUUGCUGCUGCUGCACCUCUGCUUCUUGUUUACCUUACACUUGACUCUGUUCGUCCUCAUCAGAGUCACCCACACAGGCAGGGUUUGGGUAUAAGUCCGGAUAGUCCCCGUUUCCUGCCCUGCUGUCGUCCAAGCAGAGUUGUGCCAUUUGGGACGGCGUCAGCAAGUUCAACAUUUGAGCUCUUUGGAGACCAGCCACCACAGUCAUCUGUCUUUCCUGAGCCCGCAGACACUGCCUCCUCAGGAUGGGGAUGAUGCAACAUGUCAAAAAGGAAAUUAAAAUUAGGACUGCUAGUGCACUGAGUCCUAUCUUAGCCCAAACGGCUCCCCAUUUUCCUAAAAUUUGGUCAAACCAAUCCCAUGACAGUCCCCCCUUGCCCGCACUCUCCCUGAGCUCAACUCUGAGUUCUGUAAGCUUCCCCAUUGCCACAGAAAAUAUACCAUCAGGGGCUGUGUUAUUUGGAAUAAAGGUACAACAAUGUUUCCCGAACAUGUGACACACUCCUCCCCUAUCCGCCGUCAGCCAAUUCAAAGCCUGUCUAUUUUGUUGGGCCAUUAUACUUGCUGCGUGUAAUUGAAUACCGAGAGCGCUCAGGAUUUCAGAUGUCGCAUUAACAAACCUCUGUUGGUUGUAAUAAAUGUAAUUUAUCCAUUGGACAUUUUUAUUAGUGGUGAUCCAGGGGAGAAUCGACU